rnacentral:rRNA from 1 species
AAUUUUGGACAAUGGGGGCAACCCUGAUCCAGCCAUCCCGCGUGUGCGAUGUAGGCCUUCGGGUUGUAAAGCACUGUUGGCAGGGAAGAAAAGGCUCAGGCUAAUACCCUGUGCUGCUGACGUUACCUGCAGAAUAAGCGCCGGCUAACUACGUUCCAGCAGCCGCGGUAAUACGUAGGUUGCAAGCGUUAAUCGGAAUUACUGGGCGUAAAGCGUGCGUCGGCGGGUUGGCAAGAAAGGUGUGAAACCCCAGAGCUUAACCUUGGAACUGCACUUUUAACUGCCAGGCUAGAGUAUGUCAGAGGGGGGUAGAAUUCCGCGUGUAGCAGUGAAAUGCGUAGAAAUGCGGAGGAAUACCGAUGGCGAAGGCAGCCCCCUGGGAUAAUACUGACGCUCAGGCACGAAAGCGUGGGGAGCAAA